rnacentral:sRNA from 1 species
UUUCCUAACACAUGCAAGCCGAGCGAGAAAGCCCGCAAGGGUGAGUACAGCGGCGCAUGGGUGAGUAACACGUGGGUAAUCUGCCCUGGAGUCCGGAAUAACUCGCCGAAAGGCGUGCUAAUGCCGGAUGAGACCACGGGGGCUUCGGCCCCUGAUGGAAAAGGUGGCCUCUGCAUGCAAGCUAUCACUCCAGGAUGAGCCCGCGGCCCAUCAGCUCGUUGGCGGGGUAACGGCCCACCAAGGCUACGACGGGUAGCUGGUCUGAGAGGACGAUCAGCCACACUGGAACUGAGACACGGUCCAGACUCCUACGGGUGGACACAGUGGGACUCCUACGGGAGGCAGCAGUGGG